CCAAGGAGUCUAACAUGUGCGCGAGUCGCAGGGUGCUCGCAAAAUAAAAACAAACAAAACCCGAAGGCGCAAUGAAAGUGAAGAUCGGUAGUCUGACCGACCGAGGCGGGAUCCGUUUCCGGGCAUCGAUCGAUCGUUCGUAGGGGGGUCGAAAGGUCCUCCUCGACGAGCGACGAGCCCGGCGGCGCACCGCCGGCCCGUCUCGACCGCUUCUUGUCGGCGAGGCGGAGCAAGAGCGCACACGUUGGGACCCGAAAGAUGGUGAACUAUGCUCGGGCAGGACGAAGCCAGAGGAAACUCUGGUGGAGGUCCGUAGCGAUUCUGACGUGCAAAUCGAUCGUCGGACCCGAGUAUAGGGGCGAAAGACUAAUCGAACCGUCUA
rnacentral:rRNA from 1 species